GAGGGUGUAGCUCAGGGGGAGAGCGCGUGCUUAGCACGCAUGAGGUUCUGGGUUCAAUCCCCAGGACCUGCA
rnacentral:tRNA from 1 species